rnacentral:rRNA from 1 species
AAAGAUUGAGAUUCCAUGAUUUAUGCAAUUCACACUACUAAUCGAUUUGGUGUUCUUAAUGAUGCCAGAUCCAGAGUCCGUUGUGAAAGUGAAAUUAUUAAUUUGUACGAGCGAUGCAUUACAGAAGUUGAUGAUUUACCGAGUAGGAACCCACCAUGAUAUCAAGCGUUCCGAAAAGGCAAGGAGAUAAUUCAGCAAGCUGUAACCCGAGAGUUCCAGCCCGCCUUCACAUUUGUGUAAUGAUCUUUUUCCGUAGGUGAACCUGCGGAGGGAUCAUUACACAAAUAUGAAGCGGGCUGGAACCUCUCGGGGUUACAGCCUUGCUGAAUUAUUCACCCUUGUCUUUUGCGUACUUCUUGUUCCUUGGUGGGUUCGCCCACCACUAGGACAAACAUAAACCUUUUGUAAUUGCAAUCAGCGUCAGUAACAAAUUAAUAAUUACAACUUUCAACAACGGAUCUCUUGGUUCUGGCAUCGAUGAAGAACGCAGCGAAAUGCGAUAAGUAGUGUGAAUUGCAGAAUUCAGUGAAUCAUCGAAUCUUUGAACGCACAUUGCGCCCUUUGGUAUUCCAAAGGGCAUGCCUGUUCGAGCGUCAUUUGUACCCUCAAGCUUUGCUUGGUGUUGGGCGUCUUGUCUCUAGCUUUGCUGGAGACUCGCCUUAAAGUAAUUGGCAGCCGGCCUACUGGUUUCGGAGCGCAGCACAAGUCGCACUCUCUAUCAGCAAAGGUCUAGCAUCCAUUAAGCCUUUUUUUCAACUUUGACCUCGGAUCAGUAGACCCCGUCGU